AAUAUUUUCACUUCCCUUCAAUUUCCCUUGCAACCAAACAGAGCCAUUAAGAACAAAAAAUUUAGAAAUAUUGUUGUCCCAUUGCACAUGGGCAUAUUUGAUGAGCCAAUUCUGAAUCUCAGUUGGCUUCACUGGACAAUGACCAAGUUAAAUCAGUUCCACACAUAAUUGGUAGCUAAUUAUGAGGGGUGAAAGAUGAAAUGUGGUGAUUUUUCUUGGAAGCAGUUUCUCUAGGUGGCAUUCUUAUGGUUUCUUGACAGGUGUCUCUAUACUCCAUUCUGUUUCCUCUGUGAAGUCUAAAACUAGGAAAAUUGCAUGAAACAGGUUAGCUUACAUGAGUUUCUGAACUUCAACUUGAAAAACUGUACGAAUCUGGAACUUUAUCAGGGAAGAACAACCGUGAAAUUUGGAAGAUUGGGCUUUAAAGACCAUGAAUGGCUGUUAGAACUGGAAUGCUGUAUGUUGGUUUGUUGCCUUCUCACAUGAAAAUUAAUUCUCUUUUUAGUUGAUCUAUAAGCAAAAUAGUGAGAAUAUGUGGAUAUUUUGUAGUUGAUCUAUUCUUUUGUUUGGACUGAACAUAGUUCUUUUUUUUUUCUGAUUAAGAGAACAUAGUUAUGUUCUGAAGGGGAAAGUUUGACUCAUUUAGCUUUCGGACUUACAGGCUUUGUCUGUUGGACUGAUUGCUUCUCCUUGUGGGUUUUGUGUUAAUUUCUCUGUUGCAACUCUCUUUUCGUUGAAUUAAUGUGUUAGUUCAGUCAGUUUUUUAUUUAUAUGAUGUUUUUUAACUGCGCAACAUCUUUCAUCAUAUGUCAUGGUCGUCAUACAACAUCCUAAAAAAAAUCAUUUUUUAAGUUGAAUAUAUCGAUCACACAACUCUCUGAACACACCUCUCUCCAUUUCAUGCUGCUAUUAUCAAAUCAUUUUCCUAAAUGAAAUCUGAUAAGCAGGGCACGGACAUCUGAGUAGCAGAAUUUGAACAAGUAAAAUUCCGCGUCUUUUUUUUUUGGUAUAAACUAAAAUUUAUUGUGUCAAUGCUUACUUGUACUUUUUUUUUAACCGAUGCAAAUUAAACCUGUUAGAAUCAGUCUUAUCCCCCAAUGAAAAGGCCAAUUAGGUGUUAAAAAAAUAAAAGUAAAAUAGAUUGUCUAUGAAACAGAAAAAAAAAAUAUAAAUGAUACUAGUGUUCCAAAACCUUCUCCAGCUGUGUCUUGUCUGUGAUGGUUCUCCUAGAAGAUGCCUUCUCUCGACGAUAUUUAGGGAGGGGAAAGUAAUAUAACCAAAAGACUCAAACUUGAGAUCCCCUGAUGAGGGUGGGUUUUGUGUAUCACACCUGCACCAAUUGCGUUAGGUAGUUGUUCUAACGGAGGAAUAUCAUGUCUCUAUGAGUCUCUUGGAUUUGAAAUGAUUUUUAAGGACUCCUAAUAUUGACAGGUUAUCAACACAAGUGCACCCGUGCUGCUUCAACUUGAUCGAUGGAUUGGAAUCUUGAUUACUCUUGAUUUUUUCGGUUGACAAAUUGCUAAUCUCACAGUGGAUUAAGCCAUCAUAGUCUAAUCACGUCAUAUUAAGCUUGCGACACUGCCUUGCAACCUCAACCACUCGAGGCUUUGAAGUCUUCCCAAGAAGGUUAAACUCAUCUAGCUUUGGCAGAAGUUUUUGUCGCUUCCAAAGCCUCCUUUGUGACCUCUGCAAUAGUCUUUGAGGGCAUCUUCGAAAGAACCAUAAUUGGAAGCUGAAGCAAAGUAUAGCAAAGUCUGUUUGGAUGAUUUUUUAUGCUUGAUGCUAAUAUAGUGACUGUGUUGAUGACUACUUGGAAGUUGAAGAGCAGUAUAAGGAAGACUCUGUCUGUAUGACUCUUGAUGCCUUAUGAUGCUUAAGUCGUGCUAUUGUUGAUGAAUAUUUAUAAAGAUAGGUAUAUAUAAACGUUUAAGCAGCUGUACUUUGCAUACGGAAGACGAGGAGCUUGCAACAAUGGUUCUCACCUUAAAAUUUCAUGUUUGAGUUUCUUAAAAUCUCUAUUAUAGUCUCCUCCACUUCAUGUUGAAUUUUUGGUUCCA